rnacentral:rRNA from 1 species
AAUCAACGCUGGCGGCGCGCUUAACACAUGCAAGUCGAGCGGAGAAAGGGGGAGCAAUCCCUGAGUAAAGCGGCGCACGGGUGAGUAACACGUGGGGAAUCUACCUCUGGGUGGGGAAUAACUCUGGGAAACCGGAGCUAAUACCGCAUAAGCCUGGGAAGGGAAAGUCGAAAGACGCCGGGAGAGGACCCCGCGGCCGAUUAGCUAGUUGGUGAGGUAACGGCUCACCAAGGCAAAGAUCGGUAGCCGGCCUGAGAGGGCACACGGCCACACUGGCACUGAAACACGGGCCAGACUCCUACGGGAGGCAGCAGUGGGGAAUCUUGCACAAUGGGGGCAACCCUGAUGCAGCGACGCCGCGUGAGCGAUGAAGCCCUUCGGGGCGUAAAGCUC